rnacentral:rRNA from 1 species
AAGCGGAGGAAAAGAAACCAACAGGGAUUGCCCCAGUAACGGCGAGUGAAGCGGCAAGAGCUCAAAUUUGAAAGCUGGCUCCUUCGGGGUCCGCAUUGUAAUUUGUAGAGGAUGCUUCGGGAGCGGUCCCUAUCUAAGUGCCCUGGAACGGGACGUCAUAGAGGGUGAGAAUCCCGUAUGGGAUGGGGUGUCCGCGCCCGUGUGAAGCUCCUUCGACGAGUCGAGUUGUUUGGGAAUGCAGCUCUAAAUGGGUGGUAAAUUUCAUCUAAAGCUAAAUAUUGGCCGGAGACCGAUAGCGCACAAGUAGAGUGAUCGAAAGAUGAAAAGCACUUUGAAAAGAGAGUUAAAAAGCACGUGAAAUUGUUGAAAGGGAAGCGCUUGCGACCAGACUCGCUCGCGGGGUUCAGCCGGCAUUCGUGCCGGUGUACUUCCCCGCGGGCGGGCCAGCGUCGGUUUGGGCGGUCGGUCAAAGGCCCUCGGAAGGUAACGCCCCUAGGGGCGUCUUAUAGCCGAGGGUGCAAUGCGACCUGCCUAGACCGAGGAACGCGCUUCGGCUCGGACGCUGGCAUAAUGGUCGUAAACGACCCGUCUU